UACGGAGGGGGCUAGCGUUGCUCGGAAUUACUGGGCGUAAAGCGCGCGUAGGCGGACCUGCAAGUCGGGGGUGAAAGCCCGAGGCUCAACCUCGGAACUGCCUUCGAUACUGCGGGUCUCGAGUCCGGGAGAGGUGAGUGGAAUUCCUAGUGUAGAGGUGAAAUUCGUAGAUAUUAGGAAGAACACCAGUGGCGAAGGCGGCGAUCUGGGAAGAUACUGACGCUGAGGUGCGAAAGCGUGGGGAGCAAACAGG
rnacentral:rRNA from 1 species